GGGCAAUAAUCGGCAUGUGGCCGAUAAUGUGGGCAAACGAACGUUCGAGGGAAAUCGACCACGACUUGACAAGUGUGGGCAAAAUUGGCAAGGCAAGCAAGGCAGCCCGAUGAGCGGGCGUGCCGAUGACCGUGUGGGCAAAGAACUGGCAAGUGAUCGGUAAAGGGAAGCAAAAGUGCGGAAAAGGCAAGGCAGAUGGGCUGCCUAGCAACCGGCCGGGCUGUUUGGGCCGUUUGGCGCGCGGGCGCGCCCGAUCAAGAUGGGCUUCGGAAAUCAGCCUUGUGGGCGGAUUUGAGGAAGUUAUGGAGCGGUUGAGGCCUGAAAAUGCAUGAAAACUGCCCCUUUAUACUUGUAAUAGUUGGCCAAGUGUCAUGUUUGUAUGCUGCCAUGUGUCCUUAGGUAGUUUUGUGUGAAAACUACCUUUUCCUUGUAUUUAUUAGGCUAUGAGUGCACAAAUCCGAGGGAUCUAGCAUAUGAGAGUUCAGAUUGCAAUUGUUGGGCAAUUCUGAGUGAGGAUUUUGUGUGUGCACCUUAGUCUCCUUUGUAUUCGUUGUGGGAAUUAAUAUAAAGGUUGGGCAUUGCCCGUAAACGUGCUUGUGUGUUUGUUUUCCGCUGCAUACUCUUGUGUUCGUUUACGUGGCUGAAAAGACUUGUGUUUGUGCGUGUUUGUGCGAAGAAAAUCGUGAGGAAGGCUGACUGGUUUGGUGGGCAAAUCAGGCCGUACAAGGGAAAAUUUCGGUGAUAAAUUAAC
rnacentral:lncRNA from 1 species